rnacentral:rRNA from 1 species
AUACGGAGGAUGCAAGCGUUAUCCGGAUUUAUUGGGUUUAAAGGGUGCGUAGGCGGUUUGCUAAGCGGGAGGUGAAAUGCCGGCGCUCAACGUCGGAAGUGCCUCCCGAACUGGUGGACUUGAAUGACUCUGCCGUGGGAGGAAUGUGUAGUGUAGCGGUGAAAUGCUUAGAGAUUACACAGAACACCGAUUGCGAAGGCAUCUCACGAAGGGUUGAUUGACGCUGAGGCACGAAAGCGUGGGGAUCAAACAGGAUUAGAUACCCUGGUAGUCCACGCAGUAAACGAUGAUGGCUAACCGCUGGUUUAUUCGGAUCAGUGGCCAAGCGAAAGCGAUAAGCCAUCCACCUGGGGAGUACGACCGCAAGGUUGAAACUCAAAGGAAUUGACGGGG